AAAAAAUGAUCAGCAUGUCAUAAAAUAUAAGAAUAAGGGAUGAAGUUUAAUUCCCGAGCCUAGGGGCAAAAGUGUAAUUAUGCAAAAGUUUAGGGGAAAAAAUGUAAUUUUGCCAAAGUUCGUAUUAAAGGCUGUUUUGAUGAAUGUAUGUAUUAAAUAAGAUUAAUUUGGCAUUAUAUAUCAAGAGAAACGAGAUUCAAGUCGCG
rnacentral:lncRNA from 1 species